rnacentral:lncRNA from 1 species
GGGCGAGUUUCUAACUCUGGCUCCAUCUUGUGCAAAUUCCCAUCUGCAAGGCAGGUGGGAAGGAAUGAAGGAGCAGCCAAGUGCCCUAUUUCUUUGUACUGCCCUCCCCUGCGUGGCCCUGCUCACCUGCUUGCUCAUGUGGCUGCCAUUUCCCUCGUCGUGUGUUGAAAACUUCAGGUCCAAUGCCAGCACCUGCAGGAAGGUGCCCAUCUGCAAGGCAGAUGGGAAGGAAUGAAGGAGCAGCCAUGUGCCCUGCUUCUCUGUACUGCCCUCCCCUGCGUGGCUCUCCUCAACUGCUUGCUCAUGUGGCUGCCAUUUCCCUCGGCGUGUGUUGAAAACUUCAGGUCCAAUGCCAGCACCUGCAGUAAGGCAAGAAAAUCAUCCAAGUGGUAUGAAACGGUGGGUUGAGGUCAGGCACAUCUCGGGGAUCUAGCAGGGUCCCUUAAGAACGAGAAUUGUUACAGGUUUUUUCUGACAUAUCUUUUCUGUGUGGAGCAUGGAGACCUCUCAAAGGGCUGAGGAUAGGCGUGUGUCUAACUCUGGCUCCAUGUUGUGCAGGUGACCAUCUCCAAGGCAGAUGCGAGGGAAUGAAAGAGCAGCCAAGUGCCCUGCAUCCCUGUGCUGCCCUCGCCUGCGUGGCCCUGCUCACCUGCUUCUCAUGUGCCAGCCAUUUCCCUCGGCGUGUGUUGAAAACUUCAGGUCCAAUGCCAGCACCUGCAGGACGGCAAGAGGAUGAACAGUGUGAUGCCCAUCUGCAAGGCAGAUGGGAAGGAAUGAAGGAGCAGCCAAGUGCCCUGCAUCCCUGUGCUGCCCUCGCCUGCGUGGCCGUUCUCACCUGCUUGCUCAUGUGGCUGCCAUUUCCCUCGGAGUGUGUUGAAAACUUCAGGUCCAGCGCCAGCACCUGCAUCAACGCAAGAGGAUCAGCAAUGUGGUAUGAAACGGUGGGGUGAGGGCAGGGGCAUCUCGGGGAUCUAGCAGGGUCCCUUAAGAACAAGAAUUGUUAUUGGUAUUGUCUGACAUAUCUUUUCUGUGUGGAGCAUGGAGACCUCACAAAGGGCUGAGGAUAGGCGUGUUUCUAACUAUGGCUCCAUCUCGUGCAGGUGCCCAUCUACAAGGCAGAUGGGAAGGAAUGAAGGAGCAGCCAAGUGCCCUGCUUCUUUCUAUUGCCCUCCCCUGCGUUGCCCUGCUCACCUGCUUGCUCAUGGGCCAGCCAUUUCCCUCGGCGUGUUUUGAAAAUUUCAGGUCCAAUGCCAGCACCUGCAGGAAGGCAAGAAAAUCUGUCAAGAGGUAUGAAACGGUGGGGUGAGGGCAGGUGUAUCUCGGGGAUUUAGCACGGUCCCUUAAGAACAAGAAUUGUAACAGGUUUUGUCUGACAUAUCUUUUCUGUGUGGAGCAUGGAGACCUCUCAAAGGGUUGAGCAUAGGCGUGUUUCCUUCUUAUUCAGGAUCUGUCUCUGAAGAUGCCCAUCUGCAAGGCAGAUGGGAAGGAAUGAAGGAGCAGCCAAGUGCCCUGCAUCCCUGUGCUGCCCUCCCUUGCAUAGCCCUGUUCACCUCCUUGCUCAUGGGCCAGCCAUUUCCCUAGGCGUGUAUUGAAAACUUCAGGUCCAAUGCCAGCACCUGCAGUAAGGCAAGAGGAUCAGCAAUGUGGUAUGAAACUGUGGGGUGAGGGCAGGUGUAUCUCGGGGAUCUGGCAGGGUCCCUUAAGAAAUAGAAUUGUUACUGCUUUUUUCUGACAUAUCUUUUCUGUGUGGAGUAUGGAGACCUCUCAAAGGGUUGAGCAUAGCCGUGUUUUCUACUUAUUCAGGAUCUGUCUCUGAAGAUGCCCAUCUGCAAGGCAGAUGGGAAGGAAUGAAGGAGCAGCCAUGUGCCCUGCUUCUCUGUAUUGCCCUCCCCUGCGUGGCCCUGCUCACCUGCUUGCUCAUGGGGCUGCCAUUUCCCUCGGCAUGUGUUA